GUUUAUAAAUUGUAGUAUUUGGUUGAAAGAACCUAACAUGAAGAACCUUCGUGUAAUUACUCUUCUUGUUCUUCUUUUGGUUUGUUUAGCUAAAGGAAGCGGGCGGGCUAUUAAUGAGGCAAAACAAAUACAUAGUGGUGAGAAAUUAUCUGAAAGGUAUAUAUGCGGUGGAUUAUGCUGGAAGUCAAAGGAGAUGUGUACCAUAAACUGUAAGGAAGCCUGUAAAGUUAAAGGCCAUUGUGCAAGUUAAAAUGCAAAGUUUCCUAUACAAUUAACAAUAUGCCUGCUAGGUUGACGACUAAACGGGAUUUCGAUACCAAUAAAAUAAUGAUGUAAAAUAAUGUUUUAUUUAACUCUUUAUGUAAUAUUAAUUAACUACAUAUGAAUCAAAAGUGAGCAUGAAUAGUGUUUUCUUUAUGAUUU